AGGGUAUAGCUCAAUGGUAGAGUGCAGUGCUUGGUGUGCACGAGGUCUUGGGUUCAAUCCCCAAUACCUCUA
rnacentral:tRNA from 1 species